CCCCUAGCCAAGAACAGUCUGCACAGAGUAGACAGACCUUGUCACCUUAGUAGUUCGAUUCUUCGAAAUAUAUGUGAAAACUCUCUUAAAAAUUCUCUCCCCGGCACCUUCCUGUUAGCAAUUCUCCAGCCAUAUAUAUAUAUAUACUCCGUUUAAAAUGAUCUUGUGAAGAGAAAAAUAUUCUGCAAGGCUUCCUUCGAACCUUAUAGAGAACAGCAACAGAACGAAAUUUCAUUGAAGUAAACAGCCGGCAAAUCGGCAAUUAACAAGCUGCCAUC